UUCUCUAAAGUAGAGAAUAAUUUUGUUUUCUGUUUAUCUUAAUGUGCCUGUGAGAUUAUAUUACAGCUUUAAAUGGCCUACAUGGUGGUGCUGGCACAAUUACAAGUAUUCAAGUUGCAGAAAUCUAUGGACUUAAUGUACAUGUAGAACAAAUCCAAUCCACACUAUCCAAGUUUUGUUUUCUAAGGAGAAUGUGAUUUACCUAAAGUUGGACUUUAUAAAUGUUCAACUCCACUUGGCCACAAGAAACGAGAAAGUUUGAGAUAUACAAUAAAACUUGCUCUAUAUAGUGGAUUCUUAAUUCAUUGUAGGUAAACAUUCUACUUACAUUAAUAUUCCACAAAGUAAUUGUAUGUGUGUGCUUACUCUAUUAUUUUAAGAAAGAAAUUAUUUGUGUGUGCU